UGCCCUUCAGUUUGGGAUAACCCAGGGAAACUUGGGCUAAUACCGGAUACGCCCGCAAGGGGAAAGAUUUAUCGCUGAAGGAUCGGCCCGCGUCUGAUUAGCUGGUUGGUGAGGUAAUGGCUCACCAAGGCGACGAUCAGUAGCUGGUCUGAGAGGAUGAUCAGCCACAUUGGGACUGAGACACGGCCCAAACUCCUACGGGAGGCAGCAGUGGGGAAUAUUGGACAAUGGGCGCAAGCCUGAUCCAGCCAUGCCGCGUGAGUGAUGACGGCCUUAGGGUUGUAAAGCUCUUUCGCACGCGACGAUAAUGACGGUAGCGUGAGAAGAAGCCCCGGCUAACUUCGUGCCAGCAGCCGCGGUAAUACGAAGGGGGCUAGCGUUGUUCGGAAUCACUGGGCGUAAAGGGCGCGUAGGCGGCUUUGUAAGUCGGGGGUGAAAGCCUGUGGCUCAACCACAGAAUUGCCUUCGAUACUGCGAGGCUUGAGACCGGAAGAGGUUA
rnacentral:rRNA from 1 species